rnacentral:rRNA from 1 species
AACGCGAAGAACCUUACCUGGCCUUGACAUGUCUGGAAUGCCGAAGAGAUUUGGCAGUGCUCGCAAGAGAACCGGAACACAGGUGCUGCAUGGCUGUCGUCAGCUCGUGUCGUGAGAUGUUGGGUUAAGUCCCGCAACGAGCGCAACCCUUGUCAUUAGUUGCUACGAAAGGGCACUCUAAUGAGACUGCCGGUGACAAACCGGAGGAAGGUGGGGAUGACGUCAAGUCCUCAUGGCCCUUAUGGGUAGGGCUUCACACGUCAUACAAUGGUCGGGACAGAGGGUCGCCAACCCGCGAGGGGGAGCCAAUCCCAGAAACCCGAUCGUAGUCCGGAUCGCAGACUGCAACUCGACUGCGUGAAGUCGGAAUCGCUAGUAAUCGCGAUCAGCA